rnacentral:rRNA from 1 species
UACAGGGGGGGCAAGCGUUGUUCGGAAUUACUGGGCGUAAAGGGUUCGUAGGUGGCUUGCUAAGUCAGACGUGAAAUCCCUCAGCUUAACUGGGGAACUGCGUCUGAUACUGGCGAGCUUGAGUGCAGGAGAGGAACGCGGAAUUCCAGGUGUAGCGGUGAAAUGCGUAGAUAUCUGGAGGAACACCGGUGGCGAAGGCGGCGUUCUGGACUGCAACUGACACUGAUGAACGAAAGCCAGGGGAGCAAACGGG